AUUGAACGCUGGCGGCAUGCUUUACACAUGCAAGUCGAACGGUAACAGGUUAAGCUGACGAGUGGCGAACGGGUGAGUAAUGCAUCGGAACGUGCCCGGUCGUGGGGGAUAACACUUCGAAAGAAGUGCUAAUACCGCAUACGAUCGGAGGAUGAAAGCGGGGGACCGUAAGGCCUCGCGCGAUCGGAGCGGCCGAUGUCAGAUUAGGUAGUUGGUGGGGUAAAGGCUCACCAAGCCGACGAUCUGUAGCUGGUCUGAGAGGACGACCAGCCACACUGGGACUGAGACACGGCCCAGACUCCUACGGGAGGCAGCAGUGGGGAAUUUUGGACAAUGGGCGCAAGCCUGAUCCAGCAAUGCCGCGUGCAGGAAGAAGGCCUUCGGGUUGUAAACUGCUUUUGUACGGAGCGAGAAGGCUCUCUCUAAUACAGGGGGCUCAUGACGGUACCGUAAGAAUAAGCACCGGCUAACUACGUGCCAGCCGCCGCAGUAA
rnacentral:rRNA from 1 species